rnacentral:rRNA from 1 species
UACAGAGGAGCCAAGCGUUGUCCGGAUUGACUGGGCGUAAAGGGCGCGUAGGCGGCCACCGCAAGUCAAUUGUGAAAUCUCCGGGCUUAACUCGGAAAGGUCAACUGAUACUGCGGGGCUAGAGUGCGGAAGGGGCAACUGGAAUUCUCGGUGUAGCGGUGAAAUGCGUAGAUAUCGAGAGGAACACCUGCGGCGAAGGCGGGUUGCUGGGCCGACACUGACGCUGAGGCGCGAAAGCCAGGGGAGCGAACGGG